rnacentral:rRNA from 1 species
CAUGCAGUCGAGCGAAUGGAUUAAGAGCUUGCUCUUAUGAAGUUAGCGGCGGACGGGUGAGUAACACGUGGGUAACCUGCCCAUAAGACUGGGAUAACUCCGGGAAACCGGGGCUAAUACCGGAUAACAUUUUGAACCGCAUGGUUCGAAAUUGAAAGGCGGCUUCGGCUGUCACUUAUGGAUGGACCCGCGUCGCAUUAGCUAGUUGGUGAGGUAACGGCUCACCAAGGCAACGAUGCGUAGCCGACCUGAGAGGGCGCACACCCAUACUGGGACUGAGACACGAACAAAAAUACAUACGGGAGGCGGCAGUAUUCAAUCUUCCGCAAUGGACGAAAGUCUGACGGAGCAACGCCGCGUGAGUGAUGAAGGCUUUCGGCUCGUAUAACUCUGUUGUUAGGGAAGAACAAGUGCUAGUUGAAUAAGCUGGCACCUUGACGGUACCUAACCAGAAAGCCACGGCUAACUACGUGCCAGCAGCAGCGGUAAUACGUAGGUGGCAAGCGUUAUCCGGAAUUAUUGGGCGUAAAGCGCGCGCAGUUGUUUUCUUAAGUCUGAUGUGAGAGCCCACGGCUCAACCGUGGGGGUCAUUGGAAACUGUGAGACUUGAGUGCAGAAGAGGAAAGCGCAAUUCCAUGUGUAGCGGUGAAAUGCGUAGAGAUAUGCAGGAACACCAGUGGCGUAGUCGACUUUUCUGGGUCUGUACUGAC